AACGAACGCUGGCGGCAGGCCUAACACAUGCAAGUCGAGGGGGAAGCCACUUUCGGGUGGUGGAGACCGGCGCACGGGUGAGUAACGCGUGGGCACCUGCCCUGGGGUGGGGGAUAACCGCUGGAAACGGCGGCUAAUACCGCAUACGCCCUAUUUUCGUAGAGGAGAUGGGGGAAAGAUUUAUUGCCCUGGGAUGGGCCCGCGUUGGAUUAGCUUGUUGGUGGGUAAAGGCCUACCAAGGCGACGAUCCAUAGCUGGUCUGAGAGGAUGAUCAGCCGCACUGGGACUGAGACACGGCCCAGACUCCUACGGGAGGCAGCAGUGGGGAAUAUUGGACAAUGGGGGCAACCCUGAUCCAGCCAUGCCGCGUGCGUGAAGAAGGCUUUAGGGUUGUAAAGCGCUUUCACCGGUGACGAUGAUGACGGUAGCCGGAGAAGAAGCCCCGGCUAACUCCGUG
rnacentral:rRNA from 1 species